UACUUUCCAAAGAGAUACGUGUAGUGCC
rnacentral:piRNA from 1 species